rnacentral:rRNA from 1 species
UACGGAGGGGGCUAGCGUUGUUCGGAAUUACUGGGCGUAAAGCGCACGUAGGCGGCUUUGUAAGUUAGAGGUGAAAGCCCGGGGCUCAACUCCGGAAUUGCCUUUAAGACUGCAUCGCUAGAAUUGUGGAGAGGUAAGUGGAAUUCCGAGUGUAGAGGUGAAAUUCGUAGAUAUUCGCAAGAACACCAGUGGCGAAGGCGGCUCACUGGCCCGAUACUGACGCUGAGGCGCGAAAGCGUGGGGAGCAAACAGG